AUUUCAAUAAAUUUGAUUUUAAUGAUAAUUUUCUUUAUUAUGUAUGAUACUUAUAAAUUCUAAAAGAUCAAAUAUAAUUAUGUGCAUUUCAAAUAUAACAUGAAUUUCUAAUAAUAUAGCACAUAAGAUAUUAAAAAAAACUUUGGAACUUAUUUUAAAAGAUUCUUGGUGGCUUCAAAUAUGAAAAUUUGUCAAAAUAUCUAUUCAACCAUAUUACAAUUGUUUUAAAGUAAAGAUUCCAUGUUAUCAAUCAUAUAGACUUUUUCAACUUCUACCUAUUAUAAAGCAAAUUUGGUCAUUUAUUUCAAUGAAUUUUUAUUACAAAUCUUUUGAUCAUAAAUUCUUAUAAUUCUAUUUUUAUAAUGGUAAAUUAUCUUAUCAAAAUUUUAUACUUUUUACUAUAUAAAAAAUUAACCA
rnacentral:lncRNA from 1 species